rnacentral:rRNA from 1 species
CGUUUUUUUCGUUUGGCUGGCCGUAUUUGGCUGGGAACGUCUUGCCCCGGAAGGAGUUCAGAGCAAGCAGUUCGCCAAGACGAAUGUUGUGAAUCUGCUCAUUUGGGGUC